rnacentral:rRNA from 1 species
GCCUCGUCGAGGUCCGAGUWGUAAUUUGUAGAGGSUGCUUCGGGCGCGAUGCCGGUCUAAGUUCCUUGGAACASGACGUCGCAGASGGUGAGAAUCCCGUACGCGMCCSGCGMUCAMSCCUGYGUGAASCCCCUYCGACGAGUCGAGUUGUUUGGGAAUGCAGCUCAAAAUGGGUGGUAAAUUUCAUCUAAAGCUAAAUAUUGGCCAGAGACCGAUAGCGGACAAGUAGAGUGAUCGAAAGAUGAAAAGCACUUUGGAAAGAGAGUCAAACAGUACGUGAAAUUGUUGAAAGGGAAGCGCUUGCAACCAGACCGGUCCGGAGGCGAUCAGCCGCUGCUCGUUCAGCGGUGCACUCGCCUGCGAUCCGGCCAGCAUCGGUUUGGGCGGUGGGAUAAAAGUCCCGGGAAUGUAGCUUCUCUCGGGGAGUCUUAUAGCCCGGGUCGCAAUGCCGCCCGCCCGGACCGAGGACCGCGCUUCGGCUAGGAUGCUGGCGUAAUGGUUGCAAGCGACCCGU